rnacentral:rRNA from 1 species
AUGUAAUGUAAUUCCUACAACAUUAAUGCAUUAGAUCCGAUUAGAAAUCCAAAGUUAAGCAUGAUUGGGAUAGAGUAGUACUAGGAUGGAGUGAUCUCUUGAGAAUUCCUAGUGUUUUACAUG